rnacentral:lncRNA from 1 species
AGUAUUCUCAUAGUCUUCCCCUCUUGUCCAUUUAUCUAGGUCAGAAAUAAUAAGAGUAUCAGCCUUUAACCACUGCCCCCUCAAAAAACCAUGUCGACUCAGGGCUGAGUGAAGGCUCUUCACUGCCACCCAUCUGAAAAACUUUUCGUCAAAUAGAAUGUAUCAACCAAAGUUUUCUGUUUCCUUUUCUCCUUUACCCUAUCUAGGGUAAGGAAUCUGGGAGAGUGAGUGGAACUGGCACAGGAAGAACAUUUUAAUUUGGAAGGCAGAAGAAAACCCUUGGAUCUCGUAGAGCCUCGUAUUAGGGAAGCGAUAUUACUAGGGGCAGGGUUAGGGCUAAGCUAAGAGCUAUGGGGGUAUGCUUCAUCUCAACACUGUUCUUGAACUUCAUAGAAAUGAAAACAUAAAUAUCAAGAUCUGAUGAUGAGGAAAACAGGUUUGAGGUUUGCCUGAAGGAGAGACACUUCUUGAACCUAAAGCAACUCCUCUUACUACAGUCCAAGCAUGCAGUUUAUCCUAGCAGAAGUUUCUAUUUACUGCAGUUGGAGCCAUUCUUGGACCUUCCUCCAUGACUCCUCCUGAACUUGUUUCCCUAAUUAGGACUCCAUUAGCUGUGAACUGGAGAGGUGGCUUGCAACUGCUAUAUGAUACUCAUGGAAGAUGCUGCUAA